rnacentral:rRNA from 1 species
ACGGAAGGCAGCAGUGGGGAAUAUUGGGCAAUGGGCGAAAGCCUGACCCAGCGACGCCGCGUGAGCGAAGAAGGUCUUCGGAUUGUAAAGCUCUGUGUACAGGGACGACAGUGACGGUACCUGUAUAGAAAGCCACGGCUAACUACGUGCCAGCAGCCGCGGUAAUACGUAGGUGGCAAGCGUUAUCCGGAUUUACUGGGUGUAAAGGGUGUGUAGGCGGGGGAGCAAGUCAGAUGUGAAAUCCGUGGGCUCAACUCACGGACUGCGUCUGAAACUGUUCUUCUUGAGUGUCGGAGGGGCAAUCGGAAUUCCUGGUGUAGCGGUGAAAUGCGUAGAUAUCAGGAGGAACACCGGUGGCGAAGGCGGCCUGCUGGACAGUAACUGACGCUGAGGCUCGAAAGCGUGGGGAGCAAACAGGAUUAGAUACCCUGGUA